GGGGCGAUGGCGGAAUGGUAGACGCCGGGGACUUAAAAUCCCCUGACCGCAAGGUCGUGAGGGUUCGACUCCCUCUCGCCCCACCU
rnacentral:tRNA from 2 species